GAUGAACGCUGGCGGCGUGCCUUAUACAUGCAAGUCGAGUGGGUUUAGACCCACGGCAAACGGGUGAGUAACACGUAGGUACUUUCCUUGUCACAGGAAUAACCCUCCGAAAGGAGGGCUAAUACCUGAUGUGAUCGCAAGAUUAAAGGGUAUCCGCAAGGAUUACCGGACAAGAAGAGGCCUGCGGCCUAUCAGCUAGUUGGCGGGGUAAAUGCCCACCAAGGCUAUGACGGGUAGCUGGUCUUAUGAGGAUGAUCAGUCACAUGGGCACUGAGACACGGGCCCAACUCCUACGGGAGGCAGCAGUAGGGAAUUUUGCGCAAUGGGCGAAAGCCUGACGCAGCGACGCCGCGUGCGGGAUGAAGGUCUUCGGGUCGUAAACCGCUUUUAUAAGGGACGAACUUUGACGGUACCUUAUGAAUAAGAGGUUGCUAACUCUGUG
rnacentral:rRNA from 1 species